UACUCAUCAGCGCUGUGCUUGGCAAUACAAGAAUAUCUUACUUGAUUACUAUUAUUGUUAUUAUUAUUCUUAUUGAACGAAGCCAACCAACGCAGGUUUAAUUGAAGACCUCAGAUAAUAAAAGGACUCGGCAGCGCAGACGAAGGGACUUGGCGGCGCAGACUACCCAAGUUACGUGGCAGCACAGACUCGCCUGCGCAGCUCAAGGGAGCUACUCAACACGGGCAACAAAGGACAGCGCAGAUGGGUCAAAUCAAGACUAAGGUGUAUUAAGGCAUUAAAGGGGCCUGAAUCCAAUUAUUAGAGUUCAUGGGCCUAGGGCCUUUAGGGCUCAUUCUCACAUCUAUAAAUAGAAGGUUAGCAUUAGCAUUAGAGGAUCAUGAUUUAUUUCUGAGCAACACUUGUAAUAUGUAAAUACUCUCUCAAAGUAUAGUGAAACCAGCGAAGAACUCCCGUGGACGUAGAUCAUUUAUGAUCGAACCACGUACAUCUUGUCUCGUUUAUCGUUUCUUAAUUAGGGUAAAGUUUCUUGUUUCAUCAACUGGCGCCGUCUGUGGGAAAUUGAGCUAAGGCGUGAGAUUCAUCAUUUUUCCGGGUUACUGUUCAUCGAGAGGUUUCUGUUAGAUUACUGUUCAUUCAAAAAAUCAUCAUUUUUGGCGUUACUGUUCAUCGAAGUCGGGAUCCGAUCCAAUCUGUCAACAAAAAAAAAAUUCAAAAGGGAAAAGGGGGGGCCAAUUACUGUUCGUGGUGAGGUUUCUUCAAAAAUUAAGGGAUUCCGAUAUGUUAUUGGGUUUUUCCAGUUUCCGGGGAGAGGGUCGCUGAUCUUUCUUCUCCAUAAAAUUUCUCUAGGUAGUUCCCGAAAUCGAUCAAAAUAGGAUUCACCAUCAUCUCUCAAACGUUGAUUUUCGAUCAAUUCCUCUCUAAAAUACCUGCGAAUCUACGUCCCCGAUCUGCAAUCGCGUGCCAGAAUAUGAAGCACUGCCCACCUCUCUCAUUCUUCCUCAAUCAAGGUCGUCCAUCUCUCUCUCUGAAUCGAAAGGCCGCCCACUAAGCCAUCUCUCACGCUCGCUCUAUCUUCUCACUGGUUCCGCCGUGAACUGCUCCGGCGAAGCCGUUCCAGGCCAAGGACGACGCGACUCAUCCGUUUUCCCUUCUCAAACCAGUAAACGGUCGACCUCAUUUCUGACACAGGUUAAAACCUAGCUUCUUCCCUGUCCGAACGGCUCACCGCCGACCAAGGGAUGCCCUGCCUCUAUCGGAAGAUCGUCGCCCUCCUCCGGCUGAGCACGCAAGAUACUCUCUACGGAUGGUCAAUGAUCCACUGCGCGACCACGCUGCUGUCACCGACGCAGUCGUCGUUGGGCGGCGCGCUGCGAAGCACCGAUGUUUUUGGGCGAUCAAAUUUCAGCAAAUAUUGCUGCCUUUUCUGAGUUCUCAAUCGCCGAUGGCCGCUGUGCCUCUUAUAAUUUCUAGCAGGGUACAGCGCAGCGCCGUUGCGCACGUCGCUGGCAGCCAGGGUAACUCUGGUUGUUUGAGGUUUUCGGGCUGAAGGGUGAAUCCUCCAGCUGUGAGCCCCCUUUACUUUGCUCUUAAUCUCAAAUGGGGAUGGAGCCUUGUGCUUGUGCUAGCGUUACAUGGCUGUUUGCAGUACAGAAGAGGGACUGAUGCCUACUGGAAUCACUCCGGCGAGAGAUUUUACGACUUUGAGAGGGAGGAUUUCUAUUUGUUAGAGUUUCUCUCAAUUAGUAUCAUGUUAAGCUCAACCAUUGUUGGACUUAUCUUAUUUUGGUUUGCUUAAUUUUUGCCUCGAGGUUCUGCUUGAUGUGAGUCCUUUGAAGAAGAGUGGAUCGGAUGAAAAUAGGGGAUGGUCGGAGUUUCAGAGGGAGAUUGUGCAGAUUGUGGUUGUCCCCAACUGAGAUCAUUUCUAGAGCCGCAACAACCCGCGCCUCAGGCGAUUGCCAGAUUCGUCAUCCACGGCCAACAUCAGCCAUCUCGCCCGCCAGCAAGUCGGUGGUCGUCAUCAUCGUGCUCUAGCACCGGAGUUCGUCCCCUCUUGCACCGGGCUCUGGAGCCCCUGAUUUUGUCGUCAAAUUGACCCGAGUCGAAGAUACCAAAGCUGACCUCUGUGCUCUAGUCACCGGUUAUCGCACCCGGGGUUCUGGAGAUUGCUCGCUGCCGGCCACGAAUCGCCGCUUCUUUGCAACCAGGGAAUUCCCGCUUCCUUCCGAGCAUCGAAGAACUCCUCAGCAGGGCACCAGCGAAGGGAACUUUUGGCACCCUCCGCCGCGCUAUUAAGGAGAAGCUCCAGCGCAACUCUUAGCAUCUGAAUUCCGGUGCAACUCGGGGGAAAACCCCCCAAUUCUCGGAAAUCAAUAUAUAUUUCUUAACAAUUUCAUGUAAAUCCCAGUGAAUCCUGAUGAUUUUUGUGUUUCUCUGUGUUCCCCAACAAACUACUGAUAAUUUUGGGUGGUCAAAUUUCGGCAAACAUCACCGUUCUUCGUAUCUGGAUCCGCGGUGAGAAAGAUAUCAGUACCAAGGGAAAAAGUGGGAAUUGUUGAGUUCAACCAUCAGAUUGCCCUGAGAGCCCUUUGGGUCGAGCCUCACGAAAUUCUAGGUGAAGGUCAAACUCUGUUUCUAGGCCGUGAACCACUUGAGCUCGUCACAGUCGCCUCCGUUGGCCAGCCACGUCUUGGGCUGCAUCAUCAUAACUUUCUUGUACAGGCACAACACCUCAUAGUUGUUCAUUUUCGGCCCUCUGCUCGCCGGCAUCCCGAAGCUGCACAGAACUCCCUCCGUCCAAUCACCCAUUACUCAUACAAAAGUUCAAGCUCGUGUCUCAAUUCCUUGUUCUGAUGUUGCCAAUCUGGGAACUAGAAUUUGAGGGAACUGCUGGUUGUUUGUUCCAUUUCCCCCCUUAGGGGAUCGAGGCGAAUGGAAGCUCAUUUUUUCUCAAACUUGGGACAGCUGCAGCUACUCCUCAGUUCACUCGACAAUUGAGAUGCCUAUUUUUCUCUCUUAAUUCUUUCUCUCUUAUUUAUUUCUCUCUUUGAAUUAAUUAGGGAAAUAUAAAUUCAAAGUGACAUGUGUGAUUGUUCUCUUAUAGGUGUUACCCUGCCUAUAUGCUACUGGAACAUCGAAUUAUUUGACUUGCUUGUUGUGCUUAGGUGUUGGCUUCUUAUCAUGAGUUAAGAAGUUUCAAAACAUAUGUUUCAUAGUUGAGCAUGUCCACGUGAUUCUUAGGAAGAGUGAGACAAGCGAUGACUAUUGUAAUUUGAUUGGUUGGAUUACAAUGCAGGGAAACAUAUCUGCA